CCUCAGGUGGAAUUGGGGACUGUGUGGCUGUGAGCCGUGGUGCCUGCUAGAUGAAAACAGAAAUCAGUCCUGCUCUCCACGGUGGACAAUUCAUUACCUACCAGAGUGUCUCCCACUGAAGGCAUCCGCAGUUGUUCUUUAAGGAUCCAGUUUGUGGCACUAAGAAGGAAAGACAUCAGUGGAAAGGAGCCCCUAUCAGAGCAACAUGAAUUCUGCUAAAAUUGAAGCAAGGAGAAACAUCAAAUUUAUGGUGAAGCUUGGGUGGAAGAACGGUGAAAUCAUUGAUGCUUUACGAAAAGUUUAUGGGGAUAACGCCCCAGAGAAAUCAGAAGUUCACAAAUGGAUAACUCAUUUUAAGGAGGGACGAGACCAUUUUGAAGAUGAAGCCCACAGCAGCAGACCAUCCACAUCAAUUUGUGAGGAAAAAAAUUAAUCAUGUUCCUGCCCUAAUUAAAGUUGAGCAAAGUUUCCAAUCAGUGGGUAGCAAAACUGUUGUGCCCAGAUCAGCUGCAGAUAAGAGCAGAGUUUUGAAUGGAAAUUUAAACAAGUGGGAUCAAGAUCCUGAUGGAUUUCCUCGAAGAAUUGUAACAAGAUGAAUACAUUAUCCUGAAGGCACAGCACAAUCAAAGCCAUGGCUACCAAGAGGUGGAAGUGGUCCAGUCAAAGCAAAAGUGGACCAUUCAAGAGCAAAGGUCAUGGCCACAGUUUUUUGGGAUGCUCAAAGCAUUUUGCUUGUUGACUUUCAGGAGGGCAAAAGAAUGAUAACGUGCUCAUUAUGAGAGUGUUUUGAGAAAGACAGGUUUAGCGGAAAAACACCUGAGAAAGCUCCACCAGAGUCCUUCUCCACCACGGCAAUGGUCCCGCUCAUUCUUCUCAUCAAACAAGGGCAGUUUUAUGAC